ACGAACGCUGGCGGCGUGCUUAACACAUGCAAGUCGGACGGAAAGGCCCUGCUUUUGUGGGGUGCUCGGGUGGCGAACGGGUGAGUAACACGUGAGUAACCUGCCCUUGACUUUGGGAUAACUUCAGGAAACUGGGGCUAAUACCGGAUAGGAGCUCCUGCUGCAUGGUGGGGGUUGGAAAGUUUCGGCGGUUGGGGAUGGACUCGCGGCUUAUCAGCUUGUUGGUGGGGUAGUGGCUUACCAAGGCUUUGACGGGUAGCCGGCCUGAGAGGGUGACCGGCCACAUUGGGACUGAGAUACGGCCCAGACUGCUACGGGAGGCAGCAGUGGGGAAUAUUGCACAAUGGGCGGAAGCCUGAUGCAGCAACGCCGCGUGCGGGAUGACGGCCUUCGGGUUGUAAACCGCUUUCGCCUGUGACGAAGCGUGAGUGACGGUAAUGGGUAAAGAAGCACCGGCUAACUACGUG
rnacentral:rRNA from 1 species